GAUGAACGCUGGCGGCGUGCUUAACACAUGCAAGUCGAACGGAAAGGCCCAAGCUUGCUUGGGUACUCGAGUGGCGAACGGGUGAGUAACACGUGGGUGAUCUGCCCUGCACUUCGGUAUAAGCCUGGGAAACUGGGUCUAAUACUGGAUAGGACCACUUCUUGGAUGGUGUGGUGGAAAGUUUUUUCGGUGUGGGAUGAGCUCGCGGCCUAUCAGCUUGUUGGUUGGGUAAUGGCCUACCAAGGCGUCGACGGGUAGCCGGCCUGAGAGGGUGUACGGCGACAUUGGGACUGAGAUACGGCCCAGACUCCUAAGGGAGGCAGCAGUGGGGAAUAUUGAACAAUGGGCGCAAGCCUGAUGCAGCGACGACGCGUGGGGGAUGACGGACUUCGGGUUGUAAACUCCUAUCGCUAGGGACGAAGCGUUUUUGUGACGGUACCUGGAGAAGAAGCACCGGCUAACUACGUG
rnacentral:rRNA from 1 species